CCUUCCCCAACAUAGGAACCCUUACAGAAGAAAAAUGUGAUGCUUAUCUCUAAGGACCACAAUAAAAGCUUAUCUGGCUGCAGUCUUAUCUCUCCUCUGCUUCAAGGAUGCCGUCCGGAGCGUUCGCCUCGUGCACUGAGGCUGGCUGUGGAUUCAGUAAAAGUUCUCCUCUUUGUAAUUCUGCCUCUGGUUAGCAUAAAAACUUGUCAUGCAGAGUGUUGACAGCAAAACAAGAUAAAAUGCAGGAUGAUG